rnacentral:rRNA from 1 species
UACGUAGGGUGCGAGCGUUAAUCGGAAUUACUGGGCGUAAAGCGUGCGCAGGCGGUUCGUUAUGUCCGUUGUGAAAGCCCCGGGCUCAACCUGGGAAUGGCAAUGGAAACUGGCGGGCUAGAGUGUGGCAGAGGGGGGUGGAAUUCCCGGUGUAGCAGUGAAAUGCGUAGAGAUCGGGAGGAACAUCAGUGGCGAAGGCGGCUCUCUGGACAGUUCCUGACACUGAGGCACGAAAGCGUGGGGAGCGAACAGG